AUUGAACGCUGGCGGCAUGCUUUACACAUGCAAGUCGAACGGUAACAGGGAGCUUGCUCCGCUGACGAGUGGCGAACGGGUGAGUAAUGCGUCGGAACGUGCCGAGUAGUGGGGGAUAACGCAUCGAAAGGUGUGCUAAUACCGCAUACGUACUGAGGUAGAAAGUGGGGGACCUUCGGGCCUCACGCUAUUCGAGCGGCCGACGUCUGAUUAGCUAGUUGGUGGGGUAAAGGCUCACCAAGGCGACGAGCAGUAGCGGGUCAGAGAGGAUGAUGCGCGACACGGGGACUGAGACACGGCCCAGACUCCUACGGGAGGCAGCAGUGGGGAAUCUUGCGCAAUGGGCGAAAGCCUGACGCAGCGACGCCGCGUGAGGGAAGAAGGCCUUCGGGUUGUAAACCUCUUUCAGGAGGGAGGAAGCCACUCGGGUUAAGAGCCCAGAGGGUGACGGUACCUCCAGAAGAAGCCCCGGCUAACUACGUGCCAGCCGCCGCCGUAAGAC
rnacentral:rRNA from 1 species